CCCAAACCAGCACGUCCCACAUUCCAGGUUAUCACCACAUCCUUGAAAUCCUCCACUCCACCAAUCAACAACGGAGAGAGGUAUUAUCCAACUAAUCUCAAAUAAAGAUAAGAAAGAUCCCAGAUAUCAGCAGCCACUCUACAACGAUUAGUAUCCUUUCUGUCCUACUUACAUAGUCAGCACCAGCUCUCACACACUUUCUUCACUUUAUAAUCAAUAACGUUUAAUUAACAAGCUUGAAGGUCAGCCAGAUAGCAGAAUUCCUAUCAUUCCUGCAAGGCCUCAUUCAAGUUAGCAUUAACUAAAUCAAAUUUUCAGCCAAUGAGAGAUUUGUUUAUUGGGCCGGAAGCUUAACUUAGUAUACUGUAACCUGACCCAGCACUGGCAGCACAUAUGAUGCAGAGAACUGAAACUAUACAGCUAUGAUACGAAUUCAUCCCAAUUCCCGUCCAUGAAAAGUGAAAACUAUAUCAAGCCCCAUUAUCAUUGGAACAUAUUCAUAGUCCAGCACAUGGAUUAUUCUACUGCCACUUCCAACUUCUACCCUAUAAACAUCUCAUUACUAAUAUAUCAAGUCUAACUUAGUAACUACAGAAGUAACAUAAGUCACAAAACAGAAAGAAACAUCCCAGUAGAUCAAACUUUACUGCGUAAAACCCUUAGCGGCCUAAUUACCCAGAGGGUAACUAUAAAAUGUACUCAUGCCAAGUCAGCCAAUUGGCAAAAUUACUUCAAAAACUCCAAAUUUAAUUGGAAUCUUAUUUUCCAGUGAUUAAUAGGGACAGAGCACUUUUAGAUAGUAAAUAAUACCAGGCACCACCCAAUACAAAUAAUCUUGUCUAGCUGACAAUUUCCUAUUUGAUGAAGUGUGUGGCAUGUAAACAUGAUAAAAUAAGACAUCUAAAGAAAUGGUGAUAGGUCACAUAAAUGAUAUUAAGAGACUUAUGAAACAGUGGCACUUGAGAGCAUUGGUAUCAAAUAAUUAUAUAAGUACUUGUAAAACAAAACCCUUUCGUUGAUAGGUUCUAAUGAGUGAUCACCCGUUGAGCCACUCUCAUCCUCCAAGCUGGACCUACUUGAACUCCAACUGGCUUCACAUUGGCUGCUACCAAUUUGAGAAAAUAAAAACAAAAAACAUUCAUUUUCAACAU
rnacentral:lncRNA from 1 species